rnacentral:misc_RNA from 1 species
AAUUUGGAUUUAUUACAUAUAUCUGUAACCCAAAAUAUGUAAAUAGUGCCAUGUAUUUGCCUUAUGUUUCAUUCAUCUAGCCACCGAUAUGACAAUUGCCAUAAAGCAAGGGAACACUAAUAUAGCAAUAUACGUACCCCACAACCUAAGUAGUCUCACUCUCAUGGGACAUGGCUAGGUGGUUGAAGAUGGGGAUACCUGAAAGGACUAGUGAAUAAGCCAGAAAUUCAAGAAACUAGCAUACAGUGCCAUUUGACCACAACUAACAUAUCAAAUGUUCCCUAGAGUGCCAGUAAACAAAAUAGAUAUGAGGGCAUCCAAUAUAUUUGACUUGGCAAAGAAGAUUGGUGAAUAUUUAAGUAAUCAAAAAUGGGAAAUUGGAUGCCAUAAAUUACCAUACUAUCAUAGCUUUUUUCUUGUUAAUCAGGACUUGAAUGAAGUUUUCUUUUGUAGUGACUUCUUCAAUAAGCAGAGGUAAUGGAAAGUAUGAGUAUGGUACUGCGUGGAAAUCACUGGUAAUAGAGGUGAUGAUCUUCAACAAGCGCUAGUUAGUCUCCAAUACGUUUGAAUCGAAAGAAUAACCCAAUUAAGGCAGAUCAAUGCUAAAAGGAGAAUCUUGAGUCAUUUAUACAGUGGUAGAUGGGAAGGAAUUUUGUGGAAGAUGUUGGACUUGGACACUUUUUCUU